GGUUCAUUCAAAUUUCUGCCCUAUCAACUUUCGAUGGUAGGAUGAAGGCCUACCAUGGUUUUAACGGGUAACGGAGAAUUAGGGUUCGAUUCCGGAGAGGGAGCCUGAGAAACGGCUACCACAUCCAAGGAAGGCAGCAGGCGCGCAAAUUACCCAAUCCUGACCAGGGNGGUAGUGACAAUAAAUAACAAUGCAGGGCUCUACGAGUCUUGCAAUUGGAAUGAGUACAAUUUAAAUCCCUUAACGAGGAACAAUUGGAGGGCAAGUCUGGUGCCAGCAGCCGCGGUAAUUCCAGCUCCAAUAGCGUAUAUUAAAGUUGUUGCAGUUAAAAAGCUCGUAGUUG
rnacentral:rRNA from 1 species